CAGUUCAUAAACUUUCAAGUUCCUGUUUCUGGAGCUCAAACUCUUUGCAGGAAGUGAGCUGAAAUGAAAGGUCAGUUUACUGUCAACUGUGAGGAAAGCUGUUUCAGAAAUGUUUCCAGCAGAACUCUCCCAGGAGAUGUCACACCUUGACAUGAGGAAUAAGGAUUGUGACAAGCACUAAGAUAUAUGAAGAAGGUAGGACAGCAUUUGUCUCUGCAGCGUUGAGGGGGAGAUGACACAGCCCACAGUCACAUCCUGAGGCUAUCUUACAAGUACAUAAAAAUAUUUCGCUUCUCACUUUGUCUUUCCUCUGCACUUCAGAUGAUCUUUCCUUCUACCUCACCACACUCACCUAAUCCAUUGUCAAAAAUCAUCACCAAUAAAUU